CCUACGGGAGGCAGCAGUGGGGAAUAUUGCACAAUGGGGGAAACCCUGAUGCAGCAACGCCGCGUGAAGGAAGACGGUUUUCGGAUUGUAAACUUCUGUUCUUAGUGAAGAAUAAUGACGGUAGCUAAGGAGCAAGCCACGGCUAACUACGUGCCAGCAGCCGCGGUAAUACGUAGGUGGCAAGCGUUGUCCGGAAUUACUGGGUGUAACGGGAGCGCAGGCGGGAAGCCAAGUCAGCGGUAAAAUCGUGGAGCUAAACUCCAUCCAGCCGUUGAAACUGAUGAUCUUGAGUGGGCGAGAGGUAUGCGGAAUGCGUGGUGUAGCGGUGAAAUGCAUAGAUAUCACGCAGAACUCCGAUUGCGAAGGCAGCAUACCGGCGCCCGACUGACGCUGAAGCACGAAAGCGUGGGUAUCGAACAGGAUUAGAUACCCCUGUAGUC
rnacentral:rRNA from 1 species